GACGAACGCUGGCGGCGUGCUUAACACAUGCAAGUCGAACGGAAAGGCCCUGCUUUUGUGGGGUGCUCGAGUGGCGAACGGGUGAGUAACACGUGAGUAACCUGCCCUUGACUUUGGGAUAACUUCAGGAAACUGGGGCUAAUACCGGCUAGGAGCUCCUGCUGCAUGGUGGGGGUUGGAAAGUUUCGGCGGUUGGGGAUGGACUCGCGGGUUAUCGGCUGGUUGGUGGGGUAGUGGCUUACCAAGGGUUUGACGGGUAGCCGGCCUGAGAGGGGGACCGGCGACAUUGGGACUGAGAUACGGCCCAGACGGCUACGGGAGGCAGCAGUGGGGAAUAUUGCACAAUGGGCGGAAGCCUGAUGCGGAAACGCCGCGUGCGGGAUGACGGCCUUCGGGGUGUAAACCGCUUUCGGCUGUGACGAAGCGUGAGUGACGGUAAUGGGUAAAGAAGCACCGGCUAACUGCGUG
rnacentral:rRNA from 1 species